rnacentral:rRNA from 1 species
CCUAGUACCUAGUAUUGGGUGGAAAGUGGCGAACGGGUGAGUAACACGUUGGUGACCUGUCCCGAGGAGGGGGAUAACCGUGGGAAACCACGGCUAAUACCCCAGAUGUCUGGAUUGUUAGAGGAUCUAGACUAAAGCUCCGGCGCCUUGGGAGGGACCUGCGGGCUAUCAGCUUGUUGGUGGGGUAAAGGCCCACCAAGGCUAAGACGGCUAGGGGGCGUGAGAGCGCGACCCCCCACAAUGGAACUGAGACACGGUCCAU